rnacentral:tRNA from 1 species
UCCCUUGUGGCUCAGACGGUAAAGCGUCUGCCUAUAAUGCAGGAGACCCGGGUUUGAUCCCUGGGUCGGGAA